CAUGAACUGGUGUUGGACGCACUGCGGCUGGUCCCAGGUGGACACGUCUGGCAGCUUCAUCACGUGACCUGCAGCCGCGAUGUGGCGCAGCACGUCGGCUCUGGAGAGGAACUUCCCCUCGCAGCCGUAGCAGCGGCUCUGGUGGAUCUGCCUCCGGAUGAAGUUCACCAGUUUGACCUGCUGGUAGAACCUGAGGUCUGAGAGGAGCAGACAGCGAGAGGUGUCACCGUGUUGCUCUCUGACGCUCUUCAUGCUGCUCGUGGCUGAGAUCAUGACGUCAGACUCUGUUCCUCUGAUCGCUCAGCGUCAGCCGGGGGUCACUGCGACGCCACCCACAGGUAACCAAUGGAUUCCAGGGCGUGGAGGGUUUGCACUAAGCCACGCCCCCCGAACCAGAGCUCCUGUGUCCGCAGCUGGUGGGAGGCGGCAUGGCUGGCGAGGAGGAUGUGCUGAGAGCAGGGGGGCGGAAGAAGAGUCGGAGCGGGAGGGAGCUCAAUGCUGGAGGCGGAGCUUAACCAGAUCCUGGAGGAGGUCAGGUACAUCGCCGGGCGUUUCCGGGGGCGGGACGAGGAGGAGACGGUCUGCAGCGAGUGGAGGUUUGCUGCUGCGGUGAUCAACUGCUUUUGUCUGGUGGCGUUCUCAGUCUUCACCAUCAUCUGCACCAUCGCAAUCCUCAUGUCGGCCCCCAACUUCGUGGAGGCCAUUUCCAAAGACUCCUCCAGCUGAGUUUCUUUACUUCAGUCCACAAACCAACGUGUCAGACGCCCGAGGUCAGUGUUGAGGUCAGUGUCUGAGGUCAGUGUUGAGGUCAGUGUUGAGGUCAGUGUCUGAGGUCAGUGUUGAGGUCAGUGUUGAGGUCAGUGUUGAGGUCAGUGUUGAGGUCAGUGUUGAGGUCAGUGGCUCCUGUGGAAGAUGUUUGGUUUUAUCAAAUUCGUGAUGUUUAAAAUCACAAAAACAAUCAUUGGACCUCGUAAGUUGAAUUUCAACCUAGUCAAUUUAGUAAAUAUCCUUUUCUAUUAGCAGCCAUUGAUAUGAAUCAUUUUAAACUUUACAAUAAUUGUUCCUCUGUGGAUUCCUUGAUAAACUCAACAUUUUUCCAUGUUAGCUCAGAGAAAACUGUGUGUUUACAUCUUGUGUCGGUUCUAACUCUAAUCAACUGACACUCAGACAGAACGUCCUGCAGCUGCUCCACAGAAGAAUAAAGAUAAUGAUGGUGAUGAUGAUGUCCUCCUGGUUUGAAAAGGGCCAAACAGCUGCUCGGAAUCGAACCACCGGAAGCUUUAAAGCUACAAAUGAAUCUCUAUUUUUCGUAUACGUUUUUUUAAAUCCAUCAUCCAAUAAAAAUUGUUGUGACAGUGA